rnacentral:rRNA from 1 species
GUUUGGUACAUCGCUGUCGGCUCUUCCUAUCCUGGUAGUGCACAAGCUACCAAGGGUGUCGGAGUUCACGCAUUAAAAGGAAUCGUUAGCUGGGUUAAGAACGUCGUGAGACAGUUUGUAUGAUAUCUACUAGGCGCGUUGUGGUUUGAGCGGAACAAUCAUCUAGUACGAGAGGAACGUUGAUUGGAUGCCUCUGGUGAAGCAGUUGUUAUAUAGCAGGCUGCGCAGCUACGCAUUGUGUGGAUAAGUGCUGAAAGCAUCUAAGCACGAAGCCAUCCGCAAGACGAAACCACCGAGGCCGUCACAGAAGAUGACGUUGAUAGAGUUGGUGUAUAAGAUUCAAGGUAACG